CGAGUGAAGCGGCAACAGCUCAAAUUUGAAAUCUGGAGUCUUUCGGCUUCCGAGUUGUAAUUUGAAGAGGAUGCUUCGGACCGGCCUUGGCCUAAGUUCCUUGGAACAGGACGUCAUGGAGGGUGAGAAUCCCGUACAUGGCUGCAGGCUUGGUCCAUGUGAUGCUCCUUCGAAGAGUCGAGUUGUUUGGGAAUGCAGCUCAAAAUGGGUGGUAAAUUUCAUCUAAAGCUAAAUAUUGGCGGGAGACCGAUAGCGCACAAGUAGAGUGAUCGAAAGAUGAAAAGCACUUUGAAAAGAGAGUUAAACAGCACGUGAAAUUGUUGAAAGGGAAGCGCUUGCAAUCAGACUCACCUGCGGUUGAUCAACAGGCCUUUUGGCCUGUGCACUCUUCCGUUUGUGGGCCAGCAUCAGUUGGGGCGGUGGGACAAAGGUUGCGGGAAUGUGGCUCUCUUCGGGGAGUGUUAUAGCCCGCUUCGCAAUGCCACCAGUCCCGACUGAGGUCCGCGGUUCGCCUAGGAUGCUGGCUUAAUGGUUGU
rnacentral:rRNA from 1 species